rnacentral:rRNA from 1 species
CCUACGGGAGGCAGCAGUGGGGAAUAUCGCACAAUGGGCGAAAGCCUGAUGCAGCAACGCCGCGUGAGGGACGACGGCCUUCGGGUUGUAAACCUCUUUUAGCAGGGAAGAAGCGAAAGUGACGGUACCUGCAGAAAAAGCACCGGCUAACUACGUGCCAGCAGCCGCGGUAAU